rnacentral:rRNA from 1 species
AGUGGCGAACGGGUGAGUAACACGUGGGGCAACCUGCCCAAAAGAGGGGGAUAACACUUGGAAACAGGUGCUAAUACCGCAUAACCAUAGUUACCGCAUGGUAACUAUGUAAAAGGUGGCUAUGCUACCGCUUUUGGAUGGGCCCGCGGCGCAUUAGCUAGUUGGUGGGGUAAAGGCUUACCAAGGCAAUGGUGCGUAGCCGAACUGAGAGGUUGAUCGGCCACAUUGGGACUGAGACACGGCCCAAACUCCUACGGGAGGCAGCAG